rnacentral:lncRNA from 1 species
GCCGGCGUGGCGAGCUCUGCGGGGCGGAGGCCGGCUCCGCUUGCCCGCAGCGCGGAAGGGGCGGCAGGUGGGGAGAGGAAGGAGGAACGGAGGGCUGUGGUGUGCCACGUACCCUCCCAGCAGUUUCUCCAUCCAGUAGGUUAGGUGGCCACAUUGCCUGGAGGAGUGGCAGAUGCUGUCCUUUCUCAGCACCACUGCUCAUAUCCUGGAGAUCACACCUGGAGAGCUCCAUGCCACUCGCAGGACAAUAAGCUAGUCUUGAAAGACUGAAAACCCUAGAAGAGUGGCAGGCCUGGCUCCCCAUCCAUGGGGAAGUGU